rnacentral:rRNA from 1 species
CCUACGGGAUGCUGCAGUGGGGAAUAUUGCACAAUGGGGGAAACCCUGAUGCAGCGACGCCACGUGAGUGAAGAAGUAAUUCGUUAUGUAAAGCUCUAUCAGCAGGGAAGAAAAUGACGGUACCUGAGUAAGAAGCCCCGGCUAACUACGUGACAGCAGCCGCGGUCAUACGUAGGGGGCAAGCGUUAUCCGGAUGUACUGGGUGUAAAGGGAGCGUAGACGGCAGGGCAAGUCUGAAGUGAAAGGCGGGGGCUCAACCCCCGGACUGCUCUGGAAACUGUACGGCUUGAGUGCAGGAGAGGUAAGGGGAAUUCGUAGUGUAGCGGUGAAAUGCGUAGAGAUUAGGAGGAACACCAGUGGCGAAGGCGGAUUACUGGACUGUAACUGACGUUGAGGCUCGAAAGCGUGGGGAGCAAACAGGAUUAGAUACCCUAGUAGUC